rnacentral:rRNA from 1 species
AACGAACGCUGGCGGCAGGCUUAACACAUGCAAGUCGAACGCUCCUAGCAAUAGGGGAGUGGCAGACGGGUGAGUAACGCGUGGGAAUCUACCCAGCCCUUCGGAAUAGCUCCGGGAAACUGGAAUUAAUACCGAGUACGCCUACGGGGAAAGGAUUAUCGGGUUGGAUGAGCCCGCGUUGGAUUAGCUAGUUGGUGAGGUAAUGGCCCACCAAGGCGACGAUCCAUAGCUGGUCUGAGAGGAUGAUCAGCCACACUGGGAC